UACGUAGGUGGCAAGCGUUGUCCGGAUUUACUGGGCGUAAAGAGCGCGCAGGCGGUCGAGUAAGUCGAAUGUGAAAGCCCCCGGCUUAACUGGGGAGGGUCAUUCGAUACUGUUCGACUUGAAGGCAGGAGAGGGUAGUGGAAUUCCCGGUGUAGUGGUGAAAUGCGUAGAUAUCGGGAGGAACACCAGUGGCGAAGGCGACUACCUGGCCUGUUCUUGACGCUGAGGCGCGAAAGCUAGGGGAGCAAACGGG
rnacentral:rRNA from 1 species